GUGAACGCUGGCGGUAGGCCUAACACAUGCAAGUCGAACGGCAGCACAGUAAGAGCUUGCUCUUACGGGUGGCGAGUGGCGGACGGGUGAGGAAUACAUCGGAAUCUACUUUUUCGUGGGGGAUAACGUAGGGAAACUUACGCUAAUACCGCAUACGACCUACGGGUGAAAGCAGGGGAUCUUCGGACCUUGCGCGAUUGAAUGAGCCGAUGUCGGAUUAGCUAGUUGGCGGGGUAAAGGCCCACCAAGGCGACGAUCCGUAGCUGGUCUGAGAGGAUGAUCAGCCACACUGGAACUGAGACACGGUCCAGACUCCUACGGGAGGCAGCAGUGGGGAAUAUUGGACAAUGGGCGCAAGCCUGAUCCAGCCAUACCGCGUGGGUGAAGAAGGCCUUCGGGUUGUAAAGCCCUUUUGUUGGGAAAGAAAAGCAGCAGGUUAAUACCCCGCUGUUCCGACGGUACCCAAAGAAUAAGCACCGGCUAACUUCAUG
rnacentral:rRNA from 1 species